AUGGGCGGCAACAUGGCCAAACCUGCCAUACCCAAGCACCACCACCAGUCCCCUCCUCCUCUCCUUCCUCCGCCGCCGCAUGGUCCCCGCGAAAUGGCCUCUCUGCCGAUCCCCGACGACCUCCUGCCAGAAAUCUUCAUCCGCCUGCCUACCCCAACCGAUCUCGUCCGAGCCUCCGCCGCGUGUGUCACCUUCCGCCGCGUCGUUGCUGAUCGAUCCUUCCUCCGGCGGUACCGCAAGCUCCACGCCCCGCCCCUCCUCGGCUUCCUCAAUCCGCAUAGCGGCUUCCACCCCGCCGUGCCGCCUCACCCCUCUGCGUCGGCAGCCUGCGCCGUUGCCCUUGCCGUCGACUUCUCCUUCUCUUUUGUCCCCGCGCCAGCCACUUCUUACCGCUGGACCGUCCGGGACAUCCGCGACGGCCGCUUCCUGCUAGUCAGCGCCGGCCAUGGUUUUUGGUGUGGAGAAACGGUGGUCUGCGACCCCUUGCACCGGCGAUACAUCCGGCUUCCACCAAUCCCUGACGACCUAGCUGCUAUGGUGGCAAACCCGGGUUUUUCCGAGACUUUUCUAGUUCCCCGGUGGAACGGCCAUGAUGAUGAGGCAGCAGCUGCGGAAGAGACAUCAUUCAGAGUCAUGGGUAUAGUGUACUGCGAAGCUAACGUCAUCUCCUUUAUCUUCUCUUCCAGCACCAUACAAUGGCGAGCCAUUGCAUCCCAUAGUUGGAGCGAUAUGUUACCUGGCUUGCUAUCGUCGAUGGAGGAGAGACUCUUCUGCUGGCGCUAG
rnacentral:rRNA from 1 species